rnacentral:rRNA from 1 species
UACGGAGGGAGCUAGCGUUGUUCGGAAUUACUGGGCGUAAAGCGCACGUAGGUGGUUUGUUAAGCUAGCUGUGAAAUCCCCGGGCUCAACCUGGGCACUGCAUUUGUGACUGCACGGCUAGAGUGUGUCAGAGGAGGGUAGAAUUCCACGUGUAGCAGUGAAAUGCGUAGAUAUGUGGAGGAAUACCGAUGGCGAAGGCAGCCCCCUGGGAUAACACUGACGCUCAUGCACGAAAGCGUGGGGAGCGAACAGG